rnacentral:rRNA from 1 species
CCUACGGUGUGCAGCAGUGGGGAAUAUUGGGCAAUGGAGGAAACUCUGACCCAGCAACGCCGCGUGAAGGAUGAAGGUUUUCGGAUUGUAAACUUCUGUCGCGAGGGACGAAGAAUGACGGUACCUCGUAAGAAAGCCCCGGCAAACUACGUGCCAGCAGCCGCGGUAAUACGUAGGGGGCGAGCGUUGUCCGGAAUGACUGGGCGUAAAGGGAGUGUAGGCGGCGCGUUAAGUGAUAUGUGAAAUCCCGCGGCUUAACCGGGGAAGUGCAUAGAAAACUGGGGAGCUGGAGUGCAGGAGAGGUGAGUGGAAUUACUAGUGUAGCGGUGGAAUGCGUAGAGAUUAGGAAGAACACCGGUGGCGAAGGCGGCUCACUGGACUGUAACUGACGCUGAGACUCGAAAGCGUGGGGAGCAAACAGGAUUAGAUACCCCAGUAGUC